rnacentral:rRNA from 1 species
AUUGAACGCUGGCGGUAUGCCUUACACAUGCAAGUCGAACGGUAGAGGGGCAACCCUUGAGAGUGGCGAACGGGUGAGUAAUACAUCGGAACGUGCCCAGUCGUGGGGGAUAACGUAGCGAAAGCUACGCUAAUACCGCAUACGACCUGAGGGUGAAAGCGGGGGAUUGCAAGACCUCGCGCGAUUGGAGCGGCCGAUGGCAGAUUAGGUAGUUGGUGGGGUAAAGGCCUACCAAGCCUGCGAUCUGUAGCUGGUCUGAGAGGACGACCAGCCACACUGGGACUGAGAAACGGCCCAGACUCCUACGGGAGGCAGCAGUGGGGAAUUUUGGACAAUGGGCGAAAGCCUGAUCCAGCCAUACCGCGUGCGGGAAGAAGGCCUUCGGGUUGUAAACCGCUUUUGUCAGGGAAGAAAUCUUCUGGGUUAAUACCUCGGGAGGAUGACGGUACCUGAAGAAUAAGCACCGGCUAACUACGUGCCAGCAGCCGCCGUAAGAC